AUUGAACGCUGGCGGCAGGCUUAACACAUGCAAGUCGAGCGGGGUGAUGGUGCUUGCACUAUCACUUAGCGGCGGACGGGUGAGUAAUGCUUAGGAAUCUGCCUAUUAGUGGGGGACAACAUCUCGAAAGGGAUGCUAAUACCCCAUACGUCCUACGGGAGAAAGAAGGGGACCACUUGUGACCUUUCGCUAUUAGAGGAGCCUAAGUCGGAUUAGCUAGUUGGUGGGGUAAAGGCCUACCAAGGCGACGAUCUGUAGCGGGUCUGAGAGGAUGAUCCGCCACACUGGGACUGAGACACGGCCCAGACUCCUACGGGAGGCAGCAGUGGGGAAUAUUGGACAAUGGGGGGAACCCUGAUCCAGCCAUGCCGCGUGUGUGAAGAAGGCCUUAUGGUUGUAAAGCACUUUAAGCGAGGAGGAGGCUCUUUUGGUUAAUACCCAAGAUGAGUGGACGUUACUCGCAGAAUAAGCACCGGCUAACUCUGUGCCAGCCGCCGCGGUAA
rnacentral:rRNA from 1 species